GAGAGUAUAGCUCAGUGGUAUAGUGCAUGCUUAGCAUGCACAAGAUCAUGGGUUCAAUCCCCAAUACCUCCA
rnacentral:tRNA from 1 species